rnacentral:rRNA from 1 species
GCAGCCCGAGUGGUGAUCACUAUUAUUGGGUCUAAAGGGUCCGUAGCCGGUUUAAUCAGUCUUCUGGGAAAUCUAAUCGCUUAACUAUUAGGCUUCCAGGGGAUACUGUUAGACUUGGGACCGGGAGAGGUAAGAGGUACUGCAGGGGUAGGAGUGAAAUCUUGUAAUCCCUGUGAGACCACCAGUGGCGAAGGCGUCUUACCAGAACGGGUCCGACGGUGAGGGACGAAAGCUGGGGGCACGAACCGGAUUAGAUACCCGGGUAGUCCCAGCUGUAAACGAUGCUCGUUAGGUGUCAGGAACGGUGCGACUGUUUCUGGUGCCGAAGGGAAGCCGUGAAACGAGCCACCUGGGAAGUACGGCCGCAAGGCUGAAACUUAAAGGAAUUGGCGGGGGAGCACUACAACGGGUGGAGCCUGCGGUUUAAUUGGACUCAACGCCGGAAAACUCACCGGGGGCGACAGCAAUAUGUAGGUCAGGUUAAAGGUCUUACCUGAAUCGCUGAGAGGAGGUGCAUGGCCGUCGUCAGUUCGUACUGUGAAGCAUCCUGUUAAGUCAGGCAACGAGCAAGACCCGUGCCCACUGUUACCAGCAUAUCCUUUAUGGAUGAUGGGGACUCUGUGGGGACCGCUGCUGCUAAAGCAGAGGAAGGUGCGGGCUACGGUAGGUCAGUAUGCCCCGAAUCUCCCGGGCUACACGCGGGCUACAAUGGUUGGGACAAUGGGUAUCUACUCCGAAAGGAGUUGGCAAUCUCUUAAACCCAAUCGUAGUUCGAAUUGAGGGCUGUAACUCGCCCUCAUGAAGCUGGAAUCCGUAGUAAUCGCGUUUCAACAUAGCGCGGU